rnacentral:lncRNA from 1 species
CACCCAGCUGGUGAGAAGCAGGUGAUACCACUGGUGGAUGCAUGGCUGGAUGAAAACUCUAGAAACCAACAACCUCAGUGACUGAAGGAAGAUGAGUUGGACAAGAAAAAGUGAAAGAGGGGCAGCUAUGGUUCCCGCUGGAAGGAAACGGAAGACUUCAACACCGCCCACCAAGGCCGCGGGCCCUGCGCGCCCGGGGCAGGCGGGCACAUCCCGCACCCUCUCCGCCCGCCCGCCCCCGGCGCCCUUCGCAUUCCCUUCUUCGGCCCUGGCCCCUCGGACCGGAGCGCCCAGGCCAGCUCAGGGUGUUCCCGUGGGGGUCUCCGGAAACAAUGGGCAGUUGCCCUACUGAGUUAAUGUGAUAAGGAGAAAAAAAAAAGGGAUUGAUGGUUAAGAGAAUGGUUGAACACAGGACAUCUCAGGAUGGGGCAAUAUUUGGUGAGAACCAUAUUGGAUUCUACCAAAUUACAAAUAUAUUCCAGGUUGGCCUGAUCACUCACUCACCACUCCCUGCAACUCCAUGGAGAAGAUAUAAGCUGUCAAAAAUGUAUUUGUGAGUCUGAUGAGCUCUUUCACCCAGGUGACAGGGGUUUCUGCCAUAUUAAUAUUCUUCUUCUUCUCCACCUUUUGUGUUUCAAUGCUGGGCCUGGAGAAGGCAGGGACCUUGGCUCUUCCACGGUGGCUGUUCAUCAGCACUCACACAUCCACCACACCGGUUUAGUCGCACGCUGGAAGGUUUUGCUUGGAAUCUGCCAUCAGCAAUGCCGAGGCCUGGCCUUGGUGGAAAUGGAGGUGCUGCUUAACUUUUCUUCCAAAACAUAGUACAACCCUAGUCAUCCUGGCAUGCACCUGAGACAUUCUUAUUAGCAAGCUUGGAGCAGCAGUGGAGUGUUGAAAAAAUUUCUCUCAAACCUGGAGAGACGGGGUUUCACCGUGUUAGCCAGAACGGUCUUGAUCUCCUGACCUCAUGAUCUGCCCGCCUCGGUCUCCCAAAGUGCUGGGAUUACAGGUGUGACCGAGCAAGAGUUUGUCAAUUCAGAGGUAGACCCCAGAUGGUGGGAAUCAAAGGAGGGAAGUGAGGGGCACACGGGCCUCUGGGGGCUGAGGCAGGAGACAGCUCUCUGCCUUUCUCAGGUAGAGGACCUUUGGAGAUGUGAAUGAAAACAGCUGUCUGAACAAGUGGUACCCUAACUAGCGCGGCUGUGAGUCUGAAGCUUGAAAUGGGGAAGUUGGUCAGCAUGGGUGAGCUAUGCAGCCCAGGUGAAGGGAUCCUCAAGCAGCAGCCUCUGCCUUUUUGUCUUCUCCUUUUCACGGAGAUGACAAGAAUCACCCCAGGACUUAUCUUCUGAGGUGCUCAGCUGUGGUCCCAGUGCUGCUUUGGUCACUGCUAUGGCGGGUGGAAGCAGGAUGGGUGAAGUCAUUCUGGAGAACAAGGUAAAUUAUAGCCAAAUUAUAUAUUUGCAUAUGCCAUGACCCAGCAUCCCAAUAUAUGCCAGAGAAACUCUUGCACAGAUUCAUGUGGA